GAGAGACUCUUAUAUUUUUCUCCAAUUUAGGAUACAAUAAUGAAGCUCUACACUCAAAAUAAUAAAUUACAAGGGUUUGAAAUCCUAAAACCCAAUUCUAGUAGGAAAUAAUUUUCGUUGUACUUCUGUGUCUUCGAUUCAUUUCCAGUUGUCAAUCUUCUCUUGAAAGCUCUCUUCAAAAUGUUUCUAAACCAUCUCUAAGUUUAAAGCACAAGAUUAAAUCAAGUUGGAGUUGAAUCCAGCUUACCCAGUCCACCACGGCCUCGAGUGCCGAUACUAAAUAUAUGAAUGCCAGUACUAUCAACGUCCCCUAACGUAUGCAGUAUUGGUACUCCAAAUUGAGAACUGAUACUCAAUAUAAAUUUCAGGUUUUAAAAUUUUUAGUUAUGAGGGACUUUAGCCUGCGAACCAGUACUGAAUAGUGAGUGUCGGUACUUGACAUCCAGCUGAUUUAAAAUUUUUUAUUUUUCAUGUACUGAAAUAUUAAUUCAGAACGUGUCUUCGCAUAAUCCAACAACACUUAUAUGAAAAUCGACAUUUCAACUUCAAUAAGGUAGGAGGUUGAAGUCGAGUUCGUGGAACUUACAAUUUGUGAGGACACUAAAGGGUGCCAUCAUGCUACUCUUCUGAAGAGGCACUUGGUGAGUUGGAGUUGAUAGGCUGCGUUUAUAUGAUCGUUGGUGAAGUGAAGUGUGCGGGUGAAAAAUAUGCGGAGGAUUUAUUUGAAAGUUUCGAAAAGCAUGACUUGAGAGCUCAUUUUGAUUGUAAGUUACAUUUGCUCGCUCAACUCUCGUCCUAGAAUACUUAACUUUUUUAAUUUUCUGGGCAUAGCCAUCAUCAAAAAUACUUAAAUCUGGUUAUGAGUAUUAGCCCUAUUAUAUUAUAUAUAUAGAACUAUCUAGGGUUUUGUGUAUACGGUGAAUCUGUUGACGAUCCCGAAUAGUGUUGGAAUCCGGCGCAUGACAAAAAAGUCUACAGAAGUCAUCAUCAUCUCUUCCUCUUCUUUCUAUUUUCCUCCUGGUUGGGUUCGGCGAAUUGGUUCCUUCGCCAAAUUUGUUUGAAUGAAUCGAUCAUUGGAUCUACUCCUGGUUAAUUGUGGGCCGCUAAGGGGGUGUUUUGUUCCCUGUAUAACCAGUUGAAAAAAAAUUUUCAGACUGAAAAUUUUUUUUUUGUACGUUUUGUUUGGUGUAAAAGGAAAAAUUAUUUUACACAUGUGAAGGAAAACUCAGCUUUUCGUUUCCGCCCCAUCUCCGUGGAAAACGAAAACUGAGAAGAAAUUGUGGUUCAUGCACAGUAAAAGCAUCGCGGUCCACGAGCUUAGGGUGAAAGCUAGUGGACCACGUGAGUGGUCCAUGCCGGACCACACACCCAACUCUCUCUCUCUCUCUCUCUCUCUCUCUCUCUCUCUCUCUCUCUCUCUCUCUCUCUCUCGUGUGUGUAUAAGAGAGAGAGGGGAUAAAGAAUUAUUAUAGGGGAAACUUCAAAUACCCUCCUUUGGUUUCGCACUUUCUCACUUCAGUAUUUUGUGAUUUAAAGUUUAUCAAGUUAGUACCCUGUGGUUUUGCACUUUCUCACUUUAGUACCCUCUGGUUUCAAGUGUAUUAAAUUAGUACCCUGUGGUUUCGCACUUUCUCCCGUUAGUACCAUAUGGUUUAAUAUUUCGUUAAAUUAUAUACCCUAAAAUGGAUAAUAAAAAGAGAAAAUUGAAACCACGCGAUACUAACUUGAUACAAAAAUAAAACCACAGUGUACUAAAGUGAGAAAGUCCGAAACCACAGGGGAGUAUUUGAAGUUUUCCCAUUAUUAUAUAUAUUUUAUAAUUUUUUAUAUAAUGCAUAUAGUAUUAUACACAUACUAUGUAUAUAUUAUAUUAUAUACUCAUAUCAAUUUAUUAUAUAAUAUAAUUUUAAUAUAUUUAAUUUACAAAUAAUAAUAAUAAUAAUAAUAAUAAUAAUAAUAAUAUAUUGUGAUAAUUAUUAUAUAUCAAUAAUAUAUAAUAUAUAGAAUAGAAGAAAAUAUGUAAUAAUUUUUUUAUUUAUCUUUUUCUUAUUUUUUCUUUCAACCAAACAAUCGCGAUGGAAACUAUUUUUUUUUUUCCUACAAAUCAAAUACUAAAGAACGUAAAAUUUCUUUUCCUCCGAAAAAAUUUUUACACCGAAUUUUUUUUUUU
rnacentral:lncRNA from 1 species